rnacentral:rRNA from 1 species
AUUGAACGCUGGCGGAGUGCUUUACACAUGCAAGUCGAACGGCAGCACGGACUUCGGUCUGGUGGCGAGUGGCGAACGGGUGAGUAAUGUAUCGGAACGUGCCCAGUCGUGGGGGAUAACGUAGUGAAAAUUACGCUAAUACCGCAUACGAUCUGUGGAUGAAAGCGGGGGAUCGCAAGACCUCGCGCGAUUGGAGCGGCCGAUAGCAGAUUAGGUAGUUGGUGGGGUAAAGGCCCACCAAGCCAACGAUCUGUAGCUGGUCUGAGAGGACGACCAGCCACACUGGAACUGAGACACGGUCCAGACUCCUACGGGAGGCAGCAGUGGGGAAUUUUGGACAAUGGGCGAAAGCCUGAUCCAGCCAUUCCGCGUGCAGGAUGAAGGCCCUCGGGUUGUAAACUGCUUUUGUACAGAACGAAAAGGUUUCUACUAAUACUAGGAGCUCAUGACGGUACUGUAAGAAUAAGCACCGGCUAACUACGUGCCAGCAGCCGCCGUAA